CCUACGGGUGGCUGCAGUGGGGGAUAUUGCACAAUGGAGGGAACUCUGAUGCAGCGACGCCGCGUGAGGGAAGAAGGUUUUCGGAUUGUAAACCUCUGUCUUCGGUGACGAAACGAGACGGUAGCCGAGGAGGAAGCCACGGCUAACUACGUGCCAGCAGCCGCGGUAAUACGUAGGUGGCAAGCGUUGUCCGGAAUUACUGGGGGUAAAGGGAGCGUAGGCGGGAAAGCAAGUUGAAUGUUUAAGGUACGGGCUCAAACUUUACAAGCGUUCAAAACUGUUUUUCUUGAGUGGAGUAGAGGUAAACGGAAUUCCUAGGGUAGCGGUGAAAUGCGUAAAUAUUAGGAGGAACACCAGUGGCGAAGGCGGCUUACUGGACGACAACUGACGGUGAGGCGCGAAAGCGUGGGGAGCAAACAGGAUUAGAUACCCUUGUAGUC
rnacentral:rRNA from 1 species